rnacentral:misc_RNA from 1 species
GGUUUGAUAUCCUUGAUGAAUAUUCUAUAAAUAAAGAAACAAUAAUUUAGACAACACAGAAUCAACAACCAACAAAGAUUUUCCCACAAGAAGUUCAUAAAUCUCCAAGUAUACUAAUAGAACAUAAAACAAAUCAAGAAUUCUUCCACAGUGCAGAACCAAAACAAAUUCAAAGCUGGGUGCUCACGGUAUCACUGCCAUUUACUGCGAGGACCACUGUCAUACCUUCAACCAAACAUAAAUUAAAAUUUAACAUAAAACUAACUCGGUGUUUAUUCCAUAUCCCUCAUGGCUGUACAAGCACCUAGGAUGCAGUGCGUAAAUAAAAUUAAAAUGGAAACUGUUAUGGAUAGUGAUGACCCUUGCAUAUAAUUAUAUAGAUUUAGAUUCCUAAUUAG